AUGUCUCCUUCAUUUCUGGUGUCCCUUUCGAAGUGUAUCUUGGAUCCACAUAGCAAAGAUGGUAUUCCCUCCAAUCAUAUUGGAGUACUGGACACAUCUUUGAAAAGGCAAGUAAUGUAUCAACAGGCAGAAAAGUUCACUAAAAGAAGAAAAAGGACACUACACAUUACACAAAAUAACAUCCUGAAAGCCCCAAAAGUUAAAAGAUACUUUGUUUUGUGUCUGCACAGCCAGAUUCAUGGAACCAACGGAUUGAUCACUUGCCCGGCGAAAACCACGACGCCGCUGAGCUCCUCCUUGAUCAAGAACACGAACGGGUGGUCGGCCACGAAGUCCACAACCUGA
rnacentral:rRNA from 1 species